rnacentral:rRNA from 1 species
GACGAACGCUGGCGGCGUGCUUAACACAUGCAAGUCGAACGGGCCCGCUCUCUUUUUUGGGGGUGGGUUGAGUGGCGAACGGGUGAGUAUCACGUGAGUAACCUGCCCCCUGCUCCUGGAUAACUGCUUGAAAGGGCGGCUAAUACGGGGUGUGCCGGCUGGUCCGCAUGGGCCUGGUCGGGAUAGUUUCAUCUUCGGGUGUUUCGGUGGGGGAUGGGCUCGCGGCCUAUCAGCUUGUUGGUGGGGUGAUGGCCCACCAAGGCGGUGACGGGUAGCCGGCAUGAGAGGGUGGGCGGCCGCACGGGGACUGAGACACGGCCCAGACUGCUGCGGGAGGCAGCAGUGGGGGGUAUUGCACAAUGGGCGGAAGCCUGAUGCAGCGACGUCGCGUGAGGGAUGGAGGCCUUCGGGUUGUGAACCUCUUUCUCCGGUGGUGAAGGCCCUGUCCGUUGCGGCGGGGUUGACGGUAGCCGGGUAUGAAGCGCCGGCUAACUACGUG